UGGGGAAUAUUGGGCAAUGGACUCAAGUCUGACCCAGCAACGCCGCGUGAAGGAAGAAGGCUUUCGGGUUGUAAACUUCUUUUAAGGGGAAGAGCAGAAGACGGUACCCUGAUAGCACGCUACUACGUGCCAGCAGCCGCGGUAAUACGUAGGUGGCAAGCGUUGUCCGGAUUUACUGGGUGUAAAGGGCGUGCAGCCGGGAAGACAAGUCAGAUGUGAAAUCCCGCGGCUCAACCGCGUAACUGCAUUUGAAACUGUUUUUCUUGAGUAUCGGAGAGGUCAUCGGAAUUCCUAGUGUAGCGGUGAAAUGCGUAGAUAUUAGGAAGAACACCAGUGGCGAAGGCGGAUGACUGGACGACAACUGACGGUGAGGCGCGAAAGCGUGGGGAGCAAACAGGAUUAGAUACC
rnacentral:rRNA from 1 species